rnacentral:rRNA from 1 species
AGAGUUUGAUCCUGGCUCAGGAUGAACGCUAGCGGCAGGCCUAAUACAUGCAAGUCGAACGGAGGUAGCCCUCGGGCUGCCUUAGUGGCAAACGGGUGCGUAACGCGUAAGCAACCUGCCCACAACCGGGGGAUAGCCUGGCGAAAGCCGUGGUAAACCCCCAUAGUUCCCUUGUCUCACCUGGGAGAAAGGGUAAACAUUGAUGGGUUGUGGAGGGGCUUGCGUCUGAUAUAAGUAGUUCGGCGGGGUAGUGGCCCACCAAGCCAUUGAUCAGUAUUGGGUUCUGAGAGGAUUGGCCCCCACAUGGGUACUGAGCAUACAGACCCAACUCCUACGGGAAGCAGCACUAUGGAAUAUUCGGGCACAUGGGCGCUAAGCCUGACCCAGCCAUGCCGCGUGCGACGAUGACACGCGCUCAGCGUACUGUACACUGCUUUGAUCUACGAAGGACGUUAGUUCUUGCUAUGGUACUUGACGGUAGUGCAGGAAUAAGCACAGGCUAACUCCAUGCCAGCAGCCCGCGGUAAUACUAGACGGGUGCAAAGACGUUUGUUUCCGGAAUNUCAAUUGCGGGGUUUUAAAAAAGGGGGUUGCCGUUUAAAGGGUGGGGCCGUUUCCUUAUAAAGUUUCCUCCGGUUGUUUGAAAAAAGGCCAGGGGCCAGCCUCUUAAGCGGGGUGUGAAUGUUGGCCUGGGAAAACUGGGGGCGUCUUGCAAUGAGUUUGGCCGGGUUUCCUGAACCCGGUACAUGCUANCCGGGUGGAGAAUGCNUAGGACUAUUUACCCCAGGGAAAUACACCCUCAGUUGCCGGAA